AAUUCGUCCCUUUCCUUUUACAUUUAUGCAUUUAAUUUAAUUUAGCAUUUUGCAUAUAGAAAUAGAUUUAUUUUUACGUCCGUCCCGGGACAUGCAUGCAUUAAUUUUGUUUUUAUAUUUUAUACUAACUUAUUUUUAAGUGUUUUUAAUUUGUAGGUAAAGCUUAUGGGGAGACGAGGGAGUGGCCGGAUGAUCGGACGACCGUAGGGAGUAAUUCGUCCCUUUCCUUUUACAUUUAUGCAUUUAAUUUAAUUUAGCAUUUUGCAUAUAGAAAUAGAUUUAUUUUUACGUCCGUCCCGGGACAUGCAUGCAUUAAUUUUGUUUCUAUAUUUUAUACUAACUUAUUUUUAAGUGUUUUUAAUUUGUAGGUAAAGCUUAUGGGGAGACGAGGGAGUGGCCGGAUGAUCGGACGACCGUAGGGAGUAAUUCGUCCCUUUCCUUUUACAUUUAUGCAUUUAAUUUAAUUUAGCAUUUUGCAUAUAGAAAUAGAUUUAUUUUUACGUCCGUCCCGGGACAUGCAUGCAUUAAUUUUGUUUCUAUAUUUUAUACUAACUUAUUUUUAAGUGUUUUUAAUUUGUAGGUAAAGCUUAUGGGUAGACGAGGGAGUGGCCGGAUGAUCGGACGACCGUAGGGAGUAAUUCGUCCAUUUCCUUUUACAUUUAUGCAUUUAAUUUAAUUUAGCAUUUUGCAUAUAGAAAUAGAUUUAUUUUUCCAUCCGUCCCGGGACACGCAUGCAUUAAUUUUGUUUUUAUAUUUUAUACUAACUUAUUUUUAAGUGUUUUUAAUUUGUAGGUAAAGCUUAUGGGGAGAUUAGAGGAAGCGCAAAGAUCCUUUGAUCUCGAUUUCAAAUCAAAGGUAAAUGAUUUUAAUAUUAUUUUUUUGUUUCCUAUGCAUAUAUAUACUAAUAUCUAUUUUAAAUUUUUUUAGAUGCAUACGAGAGGGAGUGGCCAGAUGAUCGGACGACCGAAUACAUCGUAGGGAGUAAUUCGUCCCCUUCUUUUUACAUUUAUGCAUUUAAUUUAU